CUACCGCUGUAAUAAUGCUGCGCGCGGUGAUGGCGGGGCGGCGGUUCGGUUCUGCGGGGUUCGGGCUGCUGCUGCUGCUUCUGUCGCUUUGCGCGGCCGGUUCCGCAGAACCAGGAGAGCUCAGGUCCAACGACAGGCCGUACGAGGUGCUAAAGAGCCAGAAUUUAGUUCUGUUCAUCAGUGUUCUGUCUAUACUCCUGCUGGCGAUGCUCAUCAUGGCUGUAUGUGUGUAUAAACCCCUGCGGCGGCGAUGACGGUGAGAGAGAGUACCGGGACACAGAGCUUUACCGACUGAUGUCCUGCGUCCCUUCCCAGGAGCGUGAAGACGACGUCCUCCUGCUGCAGUAACAUGACUCUGAUUCACCAGUACGCUCCAGUCCGAUCCGGUCGAUGAAUGGUGUAUAAUUGCACACUUUCACACAUAAGAGAAACCUAAUCAAUAGCAGUAGUAGUAUUUCUACUGCUUUGCUUUAGCUGGGUUCACUAGUCCUGUAUCUGGAAGUCCCUUUACAUGAUCCACAUUUUUGAUUAGAAAUAGGGUGCAUAAUUUGUGAUUAGAUCAGUGAGAAAAUGUAAUAAUGAAUAAUUCACAUUAGUAUGUGAAAAAUCACAAUAGGAGAGUCAAAUAAUUGUUUUAAAUUAAUUAAAAGUGUGGUUUAGCUGUUUAAAAUCAGUUAGAACUUCAAACAAGUAGAUAAAAAGAUGGAAUAGGAUGUUAGACUAUUUAGACAAUCAGUUAUAGCUUUAAGAAUUAUUGCAGUAUUAUUAAGCAUCUGAUUUUAGCAUAAAUCAAUGAAGAAUUAGUUUAUAAAAUAAAAAAAUACAUUUGUCACUGACAAAAAUGAACAAGUCAAUGUCAUUAAUACAUAAAUAGUUUAUAUUAUAAUCUGAUUUAAACCACAAACAUACUAGCAUGAGUCCCCUCCCACUCAAAGAAAUAUAUAUCGCUACCUCACUAAGCAUCAUAAAUUACUAUGAAUAUAAAAACUCUGAUUACAAUCAUAAUUGUGUAUUCACUAUACAAUCUAUCCCCAUACUCUGGUAAAUUCCUGAACAGUCAGUUCCACUGCCCACCUUCACAAGUUCAGUAUUUCUAGAAUUAAAAAUACUCAUUAGUCACGGAGUUAAAUGCACUGGAUGUCCGAUAUAUCACCCAGGUCUAGGCCAAACUCACUAUAAAGAAAAAUCUUCUCUGAAAUGCCACACUAGCAGAUCUCUACUCUGAACACACCUGUACAGGCAUUCAGAUUAUACAGAAAUGUGGACUGCGGGCUGCAGAUGCUGGAUUAAAAGACUUCUGUGUAACACUCCCUAAAGUAUAUAAAUCAUAUAAAGAGUUACUGUUCUACUGGUUGUACACUGUAGCCCAACAACCUGCUGAAUAUACACUACUGAAUUAGUUUUAUUUAUUUUAUAUUGAUUGAUUUUUUCAAAGCUGCUAAAUGAUUUUUUUAUACAGUGUAUUACCUGCACUUUGAUUUGAAGUGAUUGUUCUCCGUUCUCAUGAAUGUCAUGUUCAGUAUUUAUUGUCAGAUGAUUUUUUGAUGAUUUAUUUUCUAGGAUUGAUCCUGCGUUUCUUGAAUUUUGAAAUGAGAAUAAAAUUUAAUUUCAGUAAA